rnacentral:rRNA from 1 species
GACGAACGCUGGCGGCGUGCUUAACACAUGCAAGUCGAACGGAAAGGCCCUGCUUUUGUGGGGUGCUCGAGUGGCGAACGGGUGAGUAACACGUGAGUAACCUGCCCUUGACUUUGGGAUAACUUCAGGAAACUGGGGCUAAUACCGGAUAGGGGCUCCUGCUGCAUGGUGGGGGUUGGAAAGUUUCGGCGGUUGGGGAUGGACUCGCGGCUUAUCAGCUUGUUGGUGGGGUAGUGGCUUACCAAGGCUUUGACGGGUAGCCGGCCUGAGAGGGUGACCGGCCACAUUGGGACUGAGAUACGGCCCAGACUCCUACGGGAGGCAGCAGUGGGGAAUAUUGCACAAUGGGCGGAAGCCUGAUGCAGCAACGCCGCGUGCGGGAUGACGGCCUUCGGGUUGUAAACCGCUUUCGCCUGUGACGAAGCGUGAGUGACGGUAAUGGGUAAAGAAGCACCGGCUAACUACGUG